GAGAAGUGGCAGAGCUGGUUUAAUGCACUGGUCUUGAAAACCAGCGUACGGGAAACCGUACCGGGGGUUCGAAUCCCUCCUUCUCC
rnacentral:tRNA from 1 species